rnacentral:rRNA from 1 species
UACGGGGGGGGCAAGCGUUGUUCGGAAUUACUGGGCGUAAAGGGCUCGUAGGCGGCCAACUAAGUCAGACGUGAAAUCCCUCGGCUUAACCGGGGAACUGCGUCUGAUACUGGAUGGCUUGAGAUUGGGAGAGGGAUGCGGAAUUCCAGGUGUAGCGGUGAAAUGCGUAGAUAUCUGGAGGAACACCGGUGGCGAAGGCGGGUCUCUGGACAGUUCCUGACGCUGAGGCACGAAGGCCAGGGGAGCAAACGGGG